ensembl:lncRNA
AUGGGAAUGGGCACCGGGAAUGGGAAUGGGAAUGGGAAUGGGCACCGCCGUGCGCGUCCGCUCCCGCACCGAGCUGCGCCACGGCCGCGCCGUGGGGCGGUCAGGGCACCGGGAAUGGGAAUGGGAAUGGGAAUGGGCACCGGGAAUGGGAAUGGGAAUGGGAAUGGGAAUGGGAAUGGGCACCGGGAUGGGAAUGGGAAUGGGCACCGGGAAUGGGAAUGGGAAUGGGCACCGCCGUGCGCGUCCGCUCCCGCACCGAGCUGCGCCACGGCCGCGCCGCGGGGCGGUCAGGGGAACGGGAACGGGAAUGGGAAUGGGAAUGGGAAUGGGCACCGGGAAUGGGAAUGGGAAUGGGAAUGGGAAUGGGCACUGGGAAUGGGCACCGGGAAUGGGCACCGGGAAUGGGCACCGGGGGUGGCCACGGGGACUGGGAAUGGUCAUUGGGAAUGGGAAUGGUCAUUGGGAAUGGGAAUGGUCAUGGGCACUGGGAACGGGCACCGGGGGUGGCCACGGGGACUGGGAAGAGGCACCAGGGUUGGCCAUGGGCACUGGGAGUGGUCAUGGGGAAUGGGAAUGGUCACAGGGACUAGGAAUGGUCAUGGGGAAUGGGAAUGGUCACUGGGAAUGGGAAUGGUCACGGCCGUGCGCAUCCGCUCCCGCACCGAGCGGUGCCAUGGCAACGCCGCGGGGUGGCCACGAAUGACGGGAAUGGGCACCAGGAACGGGCACCGGGAAUGGUCAUUGGGAAUGGGAAUGGCCACGGGCCCCGGGAAUGGGCCCUGGNNNNNNNNNNUGGGAAUGGGAAUGGUCAUUGGGAAUGGGAACGGUCAUUGGGAAUGGGAAUGGUCAUCGGGCCCCGGGAACGGGCACCAGGGGUGGCCACGGGGAAUGGGAAUGGCCAUUGGAAGUGGGAAUGGUCACGGCCGUGGGCGUCUGUUCCCGCACAGAGCUGUGCCAUGGCAACGCCGUGGGGUGGCCACCGGCACCGGGAAUGGGCACCGGGAACGGGCACCGGGAAUGGGCACCGGGAACGGGCACCGGGAAUGGGCACCGGGAAUGGGCACCGGGAAUGGGCGCCGGGAAUGGGCACCGGGAAUGGGCACCGGGAAUGGGCACCGGGAAUGGGCACCGGGAACGGGCACCAGGAGUGGCCACGGGGACCGGGAAUGGUCACAGGGAAUGGGAAAGGCCACGGGGGAAUUUGGGAAUGGCAUUUCUGCCGGGAACGCAGAAAAUCCGCCGGGAAUGCAGCCUCAGCGCAGCCCCGCCUCCAGCGUCAGCCAUCACACCCCAUUCCCAUCCCAUCCCCAUUCCCAGUUUCCCAUUCCCAAUUCCCAUCCCCAUUCCCAGUUUCCCAUCCCCAUCCCAAUUCCCAUUCCCAGUUUCCCAAUCCCAAUUCCCAAUUCUGGUUCCCUUAAGCGAUGGCCUCCACCAUGGCCAGCCCAAUCCCAAUCCAAAUCCCAAUCCCAAUCCCAAUUCCAAUUCCAAUUCCAAUUCCCAAUCCCAAUCCCAAUACCAUUCCCAAUCCCAAUUCCCAGUUCCCAAUUCCCAAUUCCCAUCCCCAUCCCCAUUCCCAGUUUCCCAAUUCCCAAUUCCCAUCCCUUACAUGACGGCCUCCACCAUGGCCGGCCCCAUUCCCAGUUUCCCAAUCCCAAUUUCCCAUUCCCACUUUCCCAACCCAGUUUCCCAAUCCCAGUUUCCCAAUCCCAAUUCCCAAUUCUGGUUCCCUUACGCGAUGGCCUACACCAUGGCCAGCCCCAUCCCAUUCCCAUUCCCAAUCCCAAUCCCAAUCCCAAUCCCAAACCCAAUUCCCAAUUCCCAAUUCACAAUUCACAAUUCCCAUCCCCAUUCCCAGUU